GACGAACGCUGGCGGCGUGCUUAACACAUGCAAGUCGAACGGAAAGGCCCUGCUUUUGUGGGGUGCUCGAGUGGCGAACGGGUGAGUAACACGUGAGUAACCUGCCCUUGACUUUGGGAUAACUUCAGGAAACUGGGGCUAAUACCGGAUAGGAGCUCCUGCUGCAUGGUGGGGGUUGGAAAGUUUCGGCGGUUGGGGAUGGACUCGCGGCUUAUCAGCUUGUUGGUGGGGUAGUGGCUUACCAAGGCUUUGACGGGUAGCCGGCCUGAGAGGGUGACCGGCCACAUUGGGACUGAGAUACGGCCCAGACUCCUACGGGAGGCAGCAGUGGGGAAUAUUGCACAAUGGGCGGAAGCCGGAUGCAGCAACGCCGCGUGCGGGAUGACGGCCUUCGGGUUGUAAACCGCUUUCGCCUGUGACGAAGCGUGAGUGACGGUAAUGGGGAAAGAAGCACCGGCUAACUACGU
rnacentral:rRNA from 1 species